rnacentral:rRNA from 1 species
AUUGAACGCUGGCGGCAGGCUUAACACAUGCAAGUCGAGCGCAUCCUUCGGGGUGAGCGGCAGACGGGUGAGUAACGCGUGGGAACGUACCCUUUCCUACGGAAUAGCUCCGGGAAACUGGAAUUAAUACCGUAUACGCCCUUAGGGGGAAAGAUUUAUCGGGGAAGGAUCGGCCCGCGUUGGAUUAGCUAGUUGGUGGGGUAAAGGCCUACCAAGGCGACGAUCCAUAGCUGGUCUGAGAGGAUGAUCAGCCACAUUGGGACUGAGACACGGCCCAAACUCCUACGGGAGGCAGCAGUGGGGAAUAUUGGACAAUGGGCGCAAGCCUGAUCCAGCCAUGCCGCGUGAGUGAUGAAGGCCUUAGGGUUGUAAAGCUCUUUCAGUAGGGAAGAUAAUGACGGUACCUACAGAAGAAGCCCCGGCUAACUUCGUGCCAGCAGCCGCCGUAACAC